rnacentral:rRNA from 1 species
UACGUAGGCAGCGAGCGUUGUUCGGAGUUACUGGGCGUAAAGGGUGUGUAGGCGGUUGUUUAAGUUUGGUGUGAAAUCUCCCGGCUCAACUGGGAGGGUGCGCCGAAUACUGAAUGACUUGGAGUGCGGGAGAGGAAAGUGGAAUUCCUGGUGUAGCGGUGAAAUGCGUAGAUAUCGCUUGGAACGCCGAAGGUGAAAACAGGUCGCUGGGGAUGUGCCGACGCUGAGACACGAAAGCCAGGGGAGCAAACGGG